AGUCUUAACUGGGCGUUAAGUUGCAGGGUAUAGACCCGAAACCCGGUGAUCUAGCCAUGGGCAGGUUGAAGGUUGGGUAACACUAACUGGAGGACCGAACCGACUAAUGUUGAAAAAUUAGCGGAUGACUUGUGGCUGGGGGUGAAAGGCCAAUCAAACCGGGAGAUAGCUGGUUCUCCCCGAAAGCUAUUUAGGUAGCGCCUCGUGAACUCAUCUUCGGGGGUAGAGCACUGUUUCGGCUAGGGGGUCAUCCCGACUUACCAACCCGAUGCAAACUGCGAAUACCGAAGAAUGUUAUCACGGGAGACACACGGCGGGUGCUAACGUCCGUCGUGAAGAGGGAAACAACCCAGACCGCCAGCUAAGGUCCCAAAGUCACAGUUAAGUGGGAAACGAUGUGGGAAGGCUCAGACAGCCAGGAUGUUGGCUUAGAAGCAGCCAUCAUUUAAAGAAAGCGUAAUAGCUCACUGGUCGAGUCGGCCUGCGCGGAAGAUGUAACGGGGCUAAACUGUGCACCGAAGCUGCGGCAGCGACGCUUAUGCGUUGUUGGGUAGGGGAGCGUUCUGUAAGCCUGCGAAGGUGUCCUGUGAGGGAUGCUGGAGGUAUCAGAAGUGCGAAUGCUGACAUAAGUAACGAUAAUGCGGGUGAAAAGCCCGCUCGCCGGAAGACCAAGGGUUCCUGUCCAACGUUAAUCGGGGCAGGGUGAGUCGACCCCUAAGGCGAGGCCGAAAGGCGUAGUCGAUGGGAAACGGGUUAAUAUUCCCGUACUUGGUGUUACUGCGAAGGGGGGACGGAGAAGGCUAUGUUGGCCGGGCGACGGUUGUCCCGGUUUAAGCGUGUAGGCUGGUUUUCCAGGCAAAUCCGGAAAAUCA
rnacentral:rRNA from 1 species